rnacentral:rRNA from 1 species
UACGUAGGGUGCGAGCGUUGUCCGGAAUUAUUGGGCGUAAAGAGUCUGUAGGCGGUUUGUCGCGUCUGCUGUGAAAAUCCGGGGCUCAACCCCGGACUUGCAGUGGGUACGGGCAGACUAGAGUGUGGUAGGGGAGACUGGAAUUCCUGGUGUAGCGGUGGAAUGCGCAGAUAUCAGGAGGAACACCGAUGGCGAAGGCAGGUCUCUGGGCCACUACUGACGCUGAGAAGCGAAAGCAUGGGGAGCGAACAGG